rnacentral:rRNA from 1 species
UCGCCGUCCUUGCAGCAGCUCUGCCCCUCGCCCACAGCCAAGGCGCGACGCUGUGCUGCGACAAGUGCGGCAUCUGCACCAGGUCCUUCCCGCCGCAGUGCAGAUGCAUGGACAUCUCGCCUACCGGGUGCAACCCGGCCUGCAAGACCUGCGCCAAGUCCACCGUCGGCGGCCGUGACAGCUUCCAGUGCAAGGAUUUCAUCACCAACUUCUGCGAGACCCGCUGCACUAAGGCCGCGUGA